AUUAGGAGGCGGAGGCGCUUGGCGCGCGGACUGGAGAGGGGACUCCGCGCUGGCCCUGCUGGCUGGGGCGCCCCCGCCUUCCCCGCCAGGACCCGCGUGAAUCCGAGUGGAGCGUCGAUCUCUGCGGACAGAAGCCGGGAGGCUGCCCCGGAGGAGGCUCGUGCAGCUGCCGUUCGCGGGUCCGGUCCUGGGCAUGUGACCUGCUGACUCACAGAUACCUCAUUUUACAUACACAAUCCUGCCACUGAAAUGAGCUGCACACACUCCUUUUGAGAGCAGAAAAGGUACUAGGGGAAAUAUGCUUGGGACAUGUCCAGAGGAGGUUGGGAUUUUUAAAAGCACAAAUACUGAAUUAAUCCUUUUCACUUUGCAAUGCCACAAACAACAAGCGAGAACAAACUUGGUUACUUUAGAAGCCAAGGCAAGGCCUUUCUGUUCACUCAAACUUUUAAAAUGGGGGCAGCAUAUUUAAAAUGUAUCUUAUUUUGUGUUGUAACUUGCUUGUCAUGUUUGAUGUCUCUUGAACGUUGCUGUGAGCUGCGUAGAGAAUAAUUUAUUUUAUUUAUUUUUUUACAUUUUAUAUCCCGCUCUUCCUCUAAGGAGCCCAGAGCGGUGUACUACAUACUUAGGUUUCUCCUCACAACAACCCUGUGAGGUAGGUGUGAGGCUGAGAGAGAAGUGACUGGCCCAGAGUCACCCAGCUAGUAUUAUGGCUGGAUGAGGAUUUGAACUCUGGUCUCCCCAGUCCUAGUCCAGCACUCUAACCACAACACCACGCUGGCAUGGGGCAGCUAACCAAGUUUGUUGUUGUUGUUUGUCCUUUGUGAAAUAAAAUCAUGUGACCUGCUGACUCACAGAUACCUCGUUUUACAUACACAAUCCUGCCACUGAAAUGAGCUGCACACACUCCUUUUGAGAGCAGAAAAGGGAUUUUAAACACUCAAGGAUACAUCCAAAAAAAAAGAAAGCAGAAGAAAGAAAACAGAAGAAAGCAGAAGAUCCAUUCAGAUUCAAAUGUACUGUGAUUCAAGCUUACCAUAUAUGGCCAUUAGACAAUUAAAUGGCUACUGUUUUAAUUGAAAUCCUUCAAGUUGCAAAUGAAAUUACUUCCAAGUGAAAUUCUAAAACAGAAAUCCCCAUUUCCACUGUGGGUACUUUGAGGUUUAGUAGGAUUCCCGUUCUGGCUGAAGCUCUUUCCACUCUCUGAGCACGUAUAUGGUUUCUACACAGUGUGGGUUCUUUGAUGCCAAUUAAGAUUUCCACUCCUGCUGAAGCUCUUUCCACACUCCAAGCAUUUAAAAGGUUUCUCUCCAGCGUGAGUCAUUUGAUGUAAAUUGAGGUAGUCACUCCCACUAAACCACACUCCAAGCAUUUAUAUGGUUGCUUCCCUGCGUCCAUUUUGCACUGAGGCUGAAAGCUUGGUUCAGAACUGAAGUUUUUCCUACUUGCAGGGCAGGGACUUCUUUCCCUCUUGUUUUUUGGAUUCUGGUUUUAUAGAUGUCACCCAGCUGGGAAGCAGAAGGUCUCUCCUUGUUCUUCUCUUUUGCUGCAGGUUUUGCUUCUCUGUUCUCUCUUUUUCCGUCUGAACAAAUUUCUGAACCAUCCGUGUGAACCAUUUCUUUCUUGAUGUGUUUUCCCUUUGGGGGGAAAGGAGACUGUGCUGGUUUUAACAUAUCAUGCACAAUUUUAUAGGUGCUUUCCUAUGCUUAGGAAGAGAUAUCUCAUUUUUUAUCCUCACAAUAUCCCUGUGAGGCGGGCCAGGCUAGGGGAGAGAUGGGAUGGCUUCACUGUGGCAUGAUAGAGAAGAUCACUGAAGCACUUCUCAUUCCCUGCGAAAUGAGGGGAAAGAGGCACCUUUGAAAGUGGCGAUUCUCUGACAUUUAGUAGGGAGAGCCACUGGCCCUAUCCGUCCCCAGCACAGCCUCCCUCCAAUGGCUCUUUCUUUUCAGGUGUUGGAAAUAAUUUGCACACAGGCUGACCAGCUCUCCAGUGGCUUCAGCCAUAAUAGCCCCCCUGUCCUGCCCUACAAGUCAGAAGAAGCCAGGGAGCCAAGGGGGGCCUGGAGCCAGGCCUGCUCUUGGUUUCAGCAACAACAAGCCACGUGGAGGGCUCUGGGGAUGCUGCCCCCCCUUCCCCCUGCCUCUUUCAAGACUGUAAGCCCCUUUGGGGCAGGGAACCAUCUUCAGGCCCUCUGGUGGUGCCCUUUGGUGGAACCAUCCCUGCUAACUGGGCCAAGAAGAGGCACCUUUGCAAGUGGGCUUACCGUAUAUGGCCAUUAUAAAAUAAAAUGGCUAACUGAAAUCCUUCAAACUGCAAAUGGUUCCUUUACUUCCAAUUGAAAUUCUAAAACAGAAAUCCCCAUUCCUUCACUAUUUCCACUGUGGGUACUUUGAGGUUUAGUAGGAUUCCCGUUGUGGCUGGAGCUCUUUCUAUCCUCUGAACACAUAUAUGGUUUCUACACAGUGCGGGUUCUUUGAUGCUGAUUUUAAGAUUUCCACUGGUGCUGAAGCUCUUUCCACACUCCAAGCAUUUAUGGGGUUUCCCCCUUGUGUUCAUUUCCCACUGUGAUUGAAAGCUUGGUUCGGAACGGAAGAUUUUGCUAUUCUCAGGGCAGGGACUUCUUUCCCCUGAUAUUUUUCAGAUUAUUGUUUUAUAGAUGCCACCCUGCUGGGAAGCAGAAGGUCCCUUCUUGUUCUUCUCCACUGCUUAAGGUUUUCCUUCUGUUGUUCCCUCUUUUUCAGUCUGAUCCCUCUGCACAGUCAUGGGUGGGGCCUUCCCUCCUCCUCACUCUCCUAGCCGUCACCUGCUGAAACAAAGAGAGAGAACCGGUCAGAGCCUGAGACAGGAAAGGCCUUCCCUUCUCAAAUGGCAGCACAGAGGGACUGCUCUGAUCACAGAAGAACCACGAAGCCGCCCUGCUCUGGGUGACUGAGUCCUGGGGAGAGACAGCAGGCAGAGCCCUUGCUGUGUCCCUCUAAGGUCUCAAGCCAGCAGCAACCUGGCCUGCUCCCAAGGGUUUCUGCCCGCCUGACAAGAUCAUCGGAGGGGGCUCUGCUCCGUGUGCCAACAGUGAGAGAGAUUCGGUUGCCAAGUACGUGGGACGGGGCCUUCUCAGUCAUGGCCCCCAGGCUUUGGAGUGCUUUCCCGGUUGGCGUCUGCUCCUCCUCAACAGUUUUUAGGGACAGAGUAACUGGGCUCUUCACCUGGGCUUUUGAAUGAAAAGUAUUGUUUGACUACUGCCACUUUGUGUUUUAUGUAUUAUUGUUUUUUAAUGGAUCAUUAAAUGUUAUUUAUAUUCUUUUUCUAUCUA